rnacentral:rRNA from 1 species
GAUGAACGCUGGCGGCGUGCCUAAUACAUGCAAGUCGAGCGAACAGACGAGGAGCUUGCUCCUCUGACGUUAGCGGCGGACGGGUGAGUAACACGUGGAUAACCUACCUAUAAGACUGGGAUAACUUCGGGAAACCGGAGCUAAUACCGGAUAAUAUAUUGAACCGCAUGGUUCAAUAGUGAAAGACGGUUUUGCUGUCACUUAUAGAUGGAUCCGCGCCGCAUUGGCUAGUUGGUAAGGUAACGGCUUACCAAGGCAACCAUGCGUAGCCGACCUGAGAGGGUGAUAGGCCACACUGGAACUGAAACACGGUCCAGACUACUACGGGAGGCAGCAGUAGGGAAUCUUCCGCAAUGGGCGAAAGCUUGACGGAGCAACGCCGCGUGAGUGAUGAAGGUCUUCGGAUCGUAAAACUCUGUUAUUAGGGAAGAACAAAUGUGUAAGUAACUAUGCACGUCUUGACGGUACCUAAUCAGAAAGCCACGGCUAACUACGUG